AUUUGAACCAGCUCGCAAUAUAUAGAAAAAAAACCCCCCAUCAAUCACUGAUUUUGUGAGAAGCAAAGUAGCUAGUUAGAAAAAUCUCAAUAAGAGAUGAAGCUGUAACCAUACUAAGAAGUAAUAUUUAUCGUCACAUCAAUAUAGCG